GACGAACUGUGCAAACGUUAUUCGGAAUCACUGGGCUUAAAGGGUGCGUAGGCGGUCUUGUAAGUAGGGUGUGAAAGCCCCCGGCUCAACCGGGGAACUGCGUCCUAAACUGCGAGGCUAGAGUGAGGUAGGGGUGUGUGGAACUUCCAGUGGAGCGGUGAAAUGUGUUGAUAUUGGAAGGAACGCCGGUGGCGAAAGCGACACACUGGACCUUGUCUGACGCUGAGGCACGGAAAGCCA
rnacentral:rRNA from 1 species